rnacentral:misc_RNA from 1 species
GAUGAAGAACGUAGCGAAAUGCGAUAAGUAAUGUGAAUUGCAGAAUUCAGUGAAUCAUCGAAUCUUUGAACGCACAUUGCGCCCGUCAGUAUUCUGGCGGGCAUGCCUGUUCGAGCGUCAUUACGCCCCUCAAGUCCCCUGUGGACUUGGUGUUGGGGAUCGGCGAGGCUGGUUUUCCAGCACAGCCGUCCCUUAAAUUAAUUGGCGGUCUCGCCGUGGCCCUCCUCUGCGCAGUAGUAAAACACUCGCAACAGGAGCCCGGCGCGGUCCACUGCCGUAAAACCCCCCAACUUUUUAUAGUUGACCUCGAAUCAGGUAGGACUACCCGCUGAACUUAAGCAUAUCAGCGGAGGA